GGCCCAAGGCACAAUCCACAGCCUCCCUCAAGCCCAUGGAGGUUUGAAAUCAGGAUGCUUAAAGGGUGGACGCAAUAUGGCAACCUUACAGUGGAACACAGACUGCAACCAGGACGAGGCAUGCGAGCCCAAGAUCUUUUGCACCAGGAACCUAUUCUGAAAAAGACCUUGUCUGUCCCAAAGAGCAUAGAACAUGCUCAGAAAAACCUAGAAGCAGACCAGGCAAGGAUCCGGGACUAUGUGACAGCAAGAUGAGAGAUGGUGCAGAGCGGUUUGAGAACGGAUCUGACAAGAAUGAGAAUGCCUGCUGCACUGGCAGAGGGACUGUUGGAACUACAGACUGAGAAAAGCGGUCAGAACAAAGGGUGUUUGUAUACAUGCAUUAGGAGAAGAGUUGAAAGCUGGUGCAGAGCUAUGAGGAUGUGAAACAGUAAAGAUCGGGAAACAGUGACGAGAAGUGGAGCAUAAGGAGAAAUCCAGGUGUUGUCUCCCAUGGAACUCAUCCUCUACAGUUCUUCAGAAAACUUUAUUAAAGUAUGGAUGCUCCUGGCAAAGAUCACCACAACCUCAUGUGCCAUGCUGACAUUACAUUUUUUAUUAAAUGUUGAUUUAGUAAUUUGAUUGCAACAUCAGAGGUGUGGGACUGCAUGUCAAAUUUACACUAGAUAAUUCCAAUAAAUUAAAUUUUAAUUUCUGUUUUCAAACUAAAAUCUAGAAGAAUUAUUCAAUUAUUAUUAUUUAAAAUGUCACUGAAAAAAAGAUUUGAUUUGCCUAAAAAGUAAUGGAAAA